GAGAACUUUCAGGAUUAUCAUAUUCAAUAAAAUCAACUCUUGUUUUGCUUCAUCCUAUGCUAGUGCAUCCCAAUCAAACAUCUAUUUUCAAGAGUUCUUCAAUCAGCUGUACUUCUUUACAUAAGAAUUCAGGAGUCAGUGGAUGGUGACUACAUCACAAAAGUAUAAUUUAUGAGUAGCAUUUUUGUAUCACAUGUUUGAAGCUUGUUCAUACUUGCCUCAACCAUUGUUGAGUUUGCUGGUUUCCAUAAUAUAGGAAAAAGGUAGCUACUGACUACUGCCUUCAGCAGAUAAAUAUUUCCUUCAACGUAGCUGGUGUCUGUGUUGCCUGAUACUGUGGUACUGUGGGACUAGGCUCUUCACAUUCUUUCAACUUACCUUUAAGGCUAAACAGUGGCAGCUGCCUCUGACUAUUGUUUUUGUCCUUAAUUGUGAACUGUAGUUUUCCAGCUAUCCAGGAGGAUCUUUGAAAAAGUUGGGUGUUUUGUCUGAAAAGAUAAUUGCAUAAUGAGGAUUUUCAUCACCUUUGAAGGAUCUUUUGAGACGUUUGAUGUUUCAGCAGAUGAAACUGUGGAGGCUGUCAAGCUGAUGAUAAAGGAUUAUUUCCACAUUCCCCUCUCUGAAGACAAACAAGGCAGGCGGUAUCUGGAGUUGAUGUAUGCUGGAGCCGCUCUAAAGGACAGUUGGAGUCUUGCUGAUGUUGGAAUAUCUUUCUGUUCAACUCUCAAAUGCUUUGUUAAGGAAGAAGACAAGCCUACUCUACACGUGUUCAAUGCUGUAACCCAAGACACAAUGCCAAUAAUGGAGAGCAUUUCCCUUCUUGACAAAAAAGUGUCUGAUCUGAGAACACUGGUAACUCUGAGAUGUGGCCUCCCCGUGAGUGUCUACUGUCUCCGAACCCCAAAGGGACUGGAGAUGUAUGAUUGCAACAUGCUCAAGGACUACCAGACUGAUAUUGGCACAACACUUCGUUUGGACGUCUGGGAUGGAUGGAAGGAAUUUCUGAUGGCUUGUCUACUUGGACAAAAACUUAAAGUCCAACGCUAUUUAUCAAAAGAAGGACCAGUACUCAGGUAUCAGAAAAGGGUAGCCCUGUACAUUGCUGCUUUUUGUGGGUACAUUGAACUCACUGAGUGGGCCCUGAAGCAGGGUGUGCAGCCCCACGAGGCAGUCGGUGUUCACCCCUAUCGAGCAUGGUGCCAUGAAGCCCUUCAUGCAGAUGUCUCUAAAUGCCCCAUUCAUGCAGCUGCAGAAGCAGGCCAACUGUUGAUUCUGAAGGCUUUUGUCAACUGCAGCGUGCUGUGCCUGGAAUGCAAAAAUGCAGCAGGACAAACUCCCCUGACCAUUGUGUUCAAGCACAAGCAUAAAGACUGUGUAUUAUAUUUGCUGAGUAAAAUGUGGUCUACGGUUUCUUUUCUGAAAAUUUCAGUCCCAAUGAGGAUUUAUAUUAAAAUAAAACAAUGGAUCCUCAGAGCUCAGAGUCACAGUCUUCAUAAAAGCCAAUUUUGUGGAGCAAGGGUUUUUGGAGCAAAAGUUGGAGACACUGUGAUGGUGGAUGGUUUCACCAAGCCAAAAAUGACCUCCAAGAGCUGGCAUAAGGCUGGGAACAGGGACUCGCAAAGCAUCUUGCUCAAGCUACCAUCUCUCAGCAAACAAACUCCAAGCAGCAAGCCUGUCAAUCCUUUGGCAAUUUCACAGUCAGACACAAGAGAACAAGCCCUCAAAUUUCAUCCACUUGUGAAUGCCAAUACAUUCUCUGAAUUACAAAAACAACAACAAAAUCAGAAAAAAAAUGCCGCCAUAGCUAGUAAAAAAGAACAGCUCAUAAAAAACACAUAUCUUCCCCAAGUCCACCUCCCUCCAGUUUCAAGAGCAGGAUAUUCACAUUCAUCAUUUUUCUAUGCAACACCCAGUGCUGACUUUUUACUGAAGUCCUCCUUUGCAUCUUUCUCAGAGCACAGUGGAAAGACUCCAAGGGAGAAUGCAAUCUACUGCUUAGCUGUGGCAAGUGCCUUUAAAGAGAAACGAUGGCUUCAGCAGUUGGGAAUAGCAAGAGUCCUGGCCAAAAAGAGCAUUUCUAACUUGACUACCAGAGGAGGCCUGACAGCAUGUGAAAACCCUCUAGAAACUGUGCUUUGAAAAGCACAACCUCAGCUUGGACAAAGACCUGAUCAAACAGACUCUCCAGUUCUAAUGUUAACAUCUCGAAUAACAGUUCUAAUGUUAUCAUCUCUAGUAACAGUUCUAAUGCCACAUAACUUUUAAUAGGAUAUUUAACCCCACGUUUUCUUAAACUUCAUCACCCUAAGUGAAAAUGUGGUACUUUUUUGUGUAAAGAAUAUGAGGAAGAAUUCAGAAGAAACUGAGAAUACUAGUUGCCCAUAGGGUAGGGGAGCUGAGACAACAGAAAACAAGAAAGUGAGAAUUUUUGUUUUGUUUCUUAAAAAAAAAAAAAAAUCCAAAGAACUAUAAAUCAUUCCUAUAAGGACACAUGCAUACGAACAUUCAUUGCAGCACAGUUUACAAUAGUAAAGACCUGGAGCCAACCCAAAUGCCCAUUGAUGAUAGACUGGACUGGGAAAAUGUGGCACAUACACACCAUGGAAUAUUAUGCAGCCAUCAAAAAUGAUGAGUUUGUGUCCUUUGUAGGGACAUGGAUGAAUCUGGAGAACAUCAUUCACAGCAAACUGACAUAAGAACAGAAAAUGAAAUACCACAUGUUCUCACUCAUAGAAGAACUCUGCCUGCUCAGAUGCAGUGACUCAUGCCUGUAAUCCCAACACUUUAGAAGGCCGAGGUGGAUGGAUCACUUGAGGUCAGGAGUUCGAUACCAGCCUGGCCAACAUGAUGAAAACCUGUCUCUACUAAAAGUACAAAAGUUAGCCAGGCAUGGUGGUGCACACCUGAAAAGCUGGUAAUCCCAGAUUUUCAGGAGGCUGAGGCAGGAGAACCACUUGAACCUGGGAGGCAGAGAUUGCAGUGAUCCAAGAUCGUACCAUGACACUCUAGCCUGGGCAACAGAGUGAGACUCCAUCUCAAAAAAACAAAACAACAACAACAACAAAAAUAAACUCUGCCUACUCAAAAGAAAUGAAGAUGUUCUCUUAUAUUUUCUUCUAGAAGUUCAAUAAUUUUAGUCUUUACGUUAGGUUUAUAUUCUAUCUCAAAUUAUUUAUGUGACUGAUGUGUAGUUAGGGUUGGGAUUAAUUUUUGAAAACACUUUCCUUUCCCCCACUGACUUACCUUAGCAUCUCUGUUGAAGAUCAAUUGGCAAUAUAGGUACAGAUCUAUUUCCAGACUUUCUGUUUUUUUCCAUUGAUGUAUUUACUUGUCCUUAUACUAAUACUACAUUGUCUUAACUACUAUGUCUUAAUUAGUCUUAAAAUUAGGUAAUAUGAAUCUUCCAACUUUGUUAUUUUUUUUCAAGUUUGUUUUGGCUAUUUUUAGUCCUUCACAUUGCCAUAAAAAAUUUAAAAUAAACUUGCCAUUCUCUAUUUUAAAAGCCUGCUGGGAUUCUGAUUGGGCACAACUGACGUUUUAAUAAUAUUAAAUCUUAUAACCCAUGAUGUAUAUUUCUGUAUUUGUGGUAUAUGUCUCCAUUUACUUAAGCCUUAAUUCUUCUUAGCAAAGUUUUGUAAUUUUCAGUGUACCGGUCUUGUAAAUCUUCUGUUAAAAGUUUUUUCCUAAAUAUUUUAUAUUUUUGAGGCAAUUUACUGAGAUGAUAAUAAGACAGAUUUUGGUAUAGCAGUCACAUGCACCUAAAAUCAAAGACUCAUUCUAAAAGCAAUACCUUUGAGGUCUCAGUUAGAUAUUAUGGAGUUGGGGCACAAAGGUUAAUACAAACACACACAAAUGCACACACACACAUAAAGAUGAUUCUAUAGGGAUGUUGUAAGGCAGCAUGUGAAUAGGCAUUAGUUCAACAUAGAGAAAACAAGAAAUGAUAGUGACUGGCAGGAGGCACAGCAGAGAUUCUGGGUGUUGUAACAUUCUAUUUCUGUUCUGGAGUAAUAGGUGUGUUUAAUUUGAGAAAAUUCAACAAGGAAUAUUUUUGAAAUCUGUACCUUUUCU